AUUUCUUGGGCCGCUCCUGCGGAGGUUCCCAGGCUAGGGGUCCAAUCGGAGCUGUAGCCACCAGCCUACACCAGAGCCACAGCAACGCGGGAUCCGAGCCGCGUCUGCAGCCUACACCACAGCUCACGGCAAUGCCGGAUCAUUAACCCACUGAGCAAGGGCAGGGAUCGAACCCAAAACCUCAUGGUUCCUAGUCAGAUUCGUUAACCACUGCACCAUGACGGGAACUCCCUCUUUUGGUAUCUUGAUUUAAAAAGUCAAUUCUCCCUUUUUCUGUUGCCCCUUGAAAGGGAUGUGUCAUUUUCAUGUGGUUGCCUUUAAGAUUUUUCUCUUUGACUUGGGUCUUAAGCAGUCUUCUCUUCCUAUGAUAUUCCUAGGUGUGCUUGUUUAUUUUUUUAUUCUAGUUGGGUUUCACUGAGUAUCUUGCGGGGUGAGAAUUUGUCACCACUUUUGGCAAAAUCUUGGUUAUUAUUCCAUUAAUCAUCGCUUAUUCCCCAUUCCUAGUCCUUCUAGGAUUGCAAUCAAAAGUAUGUAGAGUUUUUCAUUAUGUUCCACAUGUGACUAAAUAGUCUUGUCUAUAUUUUCAGUUAUUUUAUUCCUCUGUGAUUCUAUUUGGAUAUUUAAUAUCACCCUGUUUUACCUUCUCUAAUCCUACAAUCUGUUACAACUACUAUGCUAUUACACCAUCAAAUAGUUUCUAAUUUCAGAUACUAUGUUUUUCAACUCCAGAAUUAAUUUCCAUUUUAUUCAUUUCUCUGGUGAAAUUCUACCUAUUUUCUUUAUGCCUUGUUUUAACAUAUUAGUCAUACUUAUUUUAAACAAUCCUAAUAUCUGUUUAUCUGUAGGUCAUGUAUAUUGUUUGUUUUUUUUCUCUAAAUUUUAUUCAUGUUAACCAGUACGUUUGUUUGUUUUGGUGUGUGUGCCUAGCAGUUUUUUAUUGAAUGCUGAAUAUGAGUGUAAAAAGCUGUCCAGGAGCCACAUAUUAUCUACUUCCAGGAAGAGGUCACCUUUUCCUCUGUUAGCUUGAUAGAGGCAUGCGUAAUCAAAUUGCCUUAAUUGAAAUAGGUGCUGUGCUUAGGCAAGGAUCUUUGUGGUCCUGAUAAGCACCUGGCCCUCUAGAAUUUUCAGUUCAGAACUCAGUGUCUUCUGCACAGUUCCUUCCCAUGGCGGGUCCAAACUCUAAUCUUCAUGCAGCAAGACUGUUAAAACUUCACUCUGCUUUUCAGAAAAUUUCCACUUAAGUUUGUCGUCUUUCCUGGAACGUCCUUGAAUUUGAUAAGUAUUCUGAUGGGGGGAAACUGGCCAGGAGCUUGAAUCCUCCAAUUUGCCAAAGGCUAUUGAAGUACUCUGUCCCUGGCAGGAGUCUUUUGUCUGUUCUUAGACUUUGUAAAUUUCCUCAGGGCAAAGUGACUGUAGGUGCCAGUUCACAGCUCUAAGGAUUUUGUUUUCCAGUCUUAGCCCCUUCAGUUCUUUUUUUUUUUUUUUUUUUUUUUUUUUUUGGUCUUUUUGCUAUUUCUUGGGCCGCUCCCGCGGCAUAUGGAGGUUCCCAGGCUAGGGGUCCAAUCGGAGCUGUAGCUGCCAGCCUACGCCAGAGCCACAGCAUCGUGGGAUCCAAGCCGCAUCUGCGACUCACGGCAACGCCAGAUCCUUAACCCACUGAGCAAGGGCAGGGACCGAACCCACAACCUCAUGGUUCCUAGUCGGAUUCGUUAACCACUGCACCACGACGGGAAUUCCCCCUUCAGUUCUUUUUAUAUCAUCUGCUGUCUCUUAUAUUUUGUAAAGAUACAACAUCUAUAUUUUGAAACUUUUGGUUGUUAGGAAGAAGAGGUCUUACAAUGAAGGCUAUGUUGCCUUCAAUAGAAUUUCCGCUCCUAAGACAAUGUCAAACUCACUGUAUGUUGUGCCCAAAACUGACAGAGGAAUUGUAAAAAUGCACAUAUACA
rnacentral:lncRNA from 1 species